AGGCCAGUGUAACACAGACCUUCCCGUGAUCAACAAACCCAAAGUUCUGGCAGUUGCACCAGUCCCGAAGCCACAUAUUAAUAUGACGAGUCUGCUUGUCAGCAUCGAUCACCCCUACUGGAAAUACAGAGGCAAACACAACCUGUGCCCCUGAGCCUUUAACUAGUCGCCCCAAGGCCCUAAAGUCCCUUUUGAUUGCUCUCAGACUUCUCCUCACUACCUCGUCAUUACCAGUCUGAAAGACCAGUAGUGGGUAGUAGUCAGAGGGCCGUAACAGGUGCUUGACUUUCUUAGCGAAGUCUCUUGCUCG